CCUACGGGAGGCAGCAGUGAGGAAUAUUGGUCAAUGGCCGGAAGGCUGAACCAGCCAAGCCGCGUGAAGGACGAAGGUGCCAAGCAUUGUAAACUUCUUUUGUCAAGGGACAAAAUCAGGCUCGAGAGCCUGACCGAGGGUACUUGAAGAAAAAGCAUCGGCUAACUCCGUGCCAGCAGCCGCGGUAAUACGGAGGAUGCGAGCGUUAUCCGGAUUUAUUGGGGUUAAAGGGUGGGUAGGCGGGAGGUUAAGUCAGCGGUAAAAGCCCGGGGCUCAACCCCGGUGGGCCGUUGAAACGGGGUGUCUUGAGUGGGCGAGAAGUAUGCGGAAUGCGUGGUGGAGCGGUGAAAUGCAUAGCGAGCACGUAGAACUCAGAUUGAGAAGGAAGAGUACCGGCGACAAACUGAAGCUCAUGCACGAAAGCGUGGGUAGAGAACAGGAUUAGAGACCCUUGUAGUC
rnacentral:rRNA from 1 species